CACGAUUAAAGCGGUUAUUACCUCGUGCCUGAUGUGGAAGCCUUUAUUGUGCAAUUAUUGUACAUCAUGAAGAGCUAUUGUUGGGCAGUUAUUGCAUGCCCCGUCAAUUUCAGUAAUAGACAGGACCCAUCCUUUAUAUGGAGGGAACCAGAGGACUCUCAGGUAAGUUAUUCUCACAACUCUACUCUCUCUAAAAACUCUCUUCUACUAUUUCCAUAGAAUUCGACUAAGCUGAGCAUCAGAGUCCCUCACCAAAAAAACUCCAACAAGAGGACUUGAUUUUCAAGUUGGUUCAAUAUUCUGGAAGACCAAUCAGCUGCAUCACUAACAUCUCCUUUAUCCAUCAACAUAAGAUGUUUUACCGCGGAGCAUCGCCAACCUCACUUCCACCUUGGUUUUUUACAGACCUCGACCUAUACUUCAAAUUCUAAUGGCAACAGUAAUAUGAUAAUAACAUUCUCAAGUACAUCUAGAGGAGUUGUUCUGUAUUAGAACCAGAGCAAUUCAGACCAUAAGAUUGGCAGCACAUUUUUUUGAAAUUUUUUGCGACAUACCCUCCUAAAUAUUAGAAUUUAUGUAAAUACCCUUCCAAAAUCGAUAUUUGUAUGUAUAUCCUCGUCAAACACUUAUUUGAUAUGUAUUUUUUUCUUUUUCUUUUUUUACGUAUGCACCCAUGCCAUCUAACGUCGUUAAGAAGUUAGAGAUUUAAAAUUGAAAUGACAAAAAUACUAUUAAUGGGUAAACAUACAAAAAAAAUGUUUAUAAGGGUAUACAUGCAAAUAGCAAUUUUGGAGAGUAUUCAUACAAUUUCAUAUAUUUAUGAGGGUAUACACACAAAAAAAAAAUCUUUGAAUAUUUGCAUAAAUACUCUUUUGAAUAUUGAAAUUUUCAUGAAUGCCCUUCAAAUUGAUAUAUAAAUUGCAUGAAUUGAAAAAAUAAAAUUAGAUUUUUUUAUGUAAACCCUUCUAAAUAUGUGAAAUUACAUGAUUACCCUCGCAAAGUAUUAUUUGUAUAUAUAUAUAUAUAUAUCCUUAUAAAUUAUUUUUUUUUGCAUAUCUAUCCAUUAAGAAUAUUUCAGUCAUUUUUAAUUUUAAACUACUAAUUUUUUAACGGCGUUAGGUAUGGAUAUAUAUGUAAGAAAAAAGAAAAUAAAGGCUAUAUACGUAAAACAAGUAUUUUAUGAAAGUAUACAUGUAAAUAUCAAUUUUGAAAGGGUAUUCAUGCAAAUUUUAAUAUUUAGAAAGAUAUGUAUGAAAAAAGAAGAAGAUUAUUUAGAAAGAUUUUAUGAAAAAAUCUGUGAAUAUUUGCAUAAAUACUCUUUUAAAUAUUGAAAUUUUCAUGAAUGCUCUUCAAAUUGAUAUAGAAAUUGCAUGAAUUGAAAAAAUAAAAUUAGAUUUUUUUAUUGUAAACCCUUGUAAAUAUGUGAAAUUGCAUGAUUACCCUCGCAAAGUAUUAUUUGCAUAUAUAUAUAUAUAUAUAUCCUUAUAAAUGUUUUUUUUACAUAUCUAUCCAUUAAGGAUAUUUCAGUCAUUUUUAAUUUUAAACUACUAAUUUUUUAACGGCGUUAGGUAUGGGUAUAUAUGUAAGAAAAAAGAAAAUAAAGGCUAUAUACGUAAAACAAGUAUUUUAUGAAAGUAUACAUGUAAAUAUUAAUUUUGAAAGGGUAUUCAUGCAAAUUUUAAUAUUUAGAAAGAUAUGUAUGAAAAAAAGAAGAAGAUUACUUUGUAUAUUUGCAUUCAGAACCUCAAAUCUCUUAGUUUUACUUUACGUGCUGGUUUUAACUCUCCAGGUUGCACCAAGACAAGGCCUCUUCGUCUUUUAGCUGAAAAAAUGAAGACAGCGUGGAAGUUUUGCUUCAAAGCUAGAACAAAAAAGCAGCCGCCAAGUCUCGCGCGAUCACCAUUCCCACACGCAUACUCCCACCGAGAUGCCCGGAGCUGUCGUCUCCCCGUAAGCAACGAAGAAAGCAAAGGCUCUAGAUCUCUCCCGCAGUUCCCAUAUAUUUCGUCUACAUCCUAUAGCCUCAGCCCUCGGCACACGCGAUAGUAUCCCAGACAGAAACCUACUCCCAUCAAAUCUGUGGAAAAUUAGAGAGAGCCUUGACUCUGUCCAACUUCUCUCCUAGCCUUGGAAUCUCCAAUUUCCACGCUAUUUUUCUCUUCCUUCCUAUUCUUCUUAUAGUUUUCUUUGUGCUCUAUUCCCAGUUUCCCCAUUUUGAAGGCCAUACAGGAUGGGGUGCAGCACUACUCUGUUCCUGGUUCCUACCCAAUUAAAGCAACACCCUUCUUCCUUGGAUCUCAAGAGAACCCCCUUCCUCCUCCUUGGGAAGCGGCCUAGACGAAAACGAGCCAUCGUUCCGGUGAGCUAGCUUUUCGAAUUCCUCUCGUCUCCUCUUUCUACAUAACUAACUCGAGGAGUUGAUAUGAUUUGAUUUGAUUCUAAUAGGCGGCGAGGUUAUUUGGGCCGGCGAUCUUCGAGGCGUCCAAGUUGAAGGUAUCGUUCCUCGGAGUCGAUGAGGAGAAGCACCCCGGGAAGCUCCCCCGGACCUACACCCUCACCCACAGCGACAUCACCGCCAAGCUCACCCUCGCCAUCUCCAACACCAUCAACCGCGCCCAGGUUUUAUUGCAACCACCACCCUUCUCCUCAACUCAUAGAAUCCAAAGAAAAAGAAAGAGACUUGUACUUACUCGGUUAUUUGCGUAAUCCAACAACAGCUCAAGGGCUGGUACAACCGGCUUCAGAGGGAUGAGGUGGUGGCAGAGUGGAAGAAGGUCCAGGGCAAGAUGUCCCUCCACGUCCACUGCCAUAUCAGCGGCGGCCACUUCCUCCUCGACCUCAUCGCCAACCUCCGUCACUACAUCUUCUGCAAGGAACUCCCAGUAGUGCGCCCUCAUUCAAUUUGUUAGAAUCAUUGAUUGAUGGAUUAUACCAAAUUUAGCCAGCUUUAUCAAAUUUUAUCUCAAUUGUUUUAUAAUUGAUUGUGCCAAGCUUAAUUGGUUUAAUCCUAUAUAAAUGCUACUUCUAAAAAUACAAUUCUCUUUGCCCUUUUUUUAUUUUUAUUUUUUUAACAUCCUUGGACUAUGUCCUUUCUCUUUCGGAUUCUGUUGUUAUUUGAUGUGCGUUUUAAUUUGUAGGUGUUGGAGGCGUUUGUUCAUGGAGAUAGGAAUCUGCUCAACAAUUACCCGGAACUGGAGGAGGCUCUGGUGUGGGUCUAUUUCCACUCUAACCUGCCGGAGUUCAACAGGGUGGAGUGCUGGGGGCCGCUUCGUGACGCGGCUUCGGGGGGGCGGGGGGAGCCCGGGGAGUCGCCGCUGCCGCCGCCGCCGCCGGGGUCGUCGUGGGAGUGGCCGCAGCGGUGCCCGGUGGACUGCGACUGCUGCUUCCCGACCCGAAGCUUGAUCCCCUGGCCGCAUGACUUCGACUUCCACGAGAAGUACCGGGAAUCCGCCGGGCAACCGCAGUAGCAGCGAGGUGAUGAAAUGCUCCAGCAAUCUAAACUCUGGUGAUCGAGUAGCCUUGGGUUAAAAAGGGGGAAAGAAAAGCAGAGUCCAUUGCUGAUUCUUUAAAAUAUUGAAUUCUGCUCCAUAAACUAUGGUGUAUACAUUCGCAUAAAAUUGUGCUGUAAAAAGAUUAAAAGAACCGAUUGUGUAAAUAGUUGAAGGAAAUCCUGUAGCUUAGAAUUACUCAAUCCAAUUGGAUCUCCUGCGUGAUAUGACAAGAGCUGUCCAUGCAGGAAGAUAAGAUGGCACUCGCACAGCUACUAAAUUGCCCGGGCCCAGACGAACGGUGCGCCUAUGGAGGUUUUGAAGCGUAGUGAGAUGAGAGUUUCGUGUUAAUUUGAAUGGUAGGAAGGUGAACUAAUGUUUCCAUUCACAUGCGUUUUCUGGAUGCUCUUGAGAUUGUCUGUCCGCUUGCCAUAAAGAAAGAAAGAAAGGAGAAAUUCUCUAAGCUACAAAUGAACAGAACAAUGUUGCAUAAUGCUGAAAUGGUAGCAGAAAUAGGAGAAGAUUUUGUCCAUAUUUAUUUGUGUGGACUCAAGAAAUUAUUAGAUAGGACGGUUGUACAAACUAGGAAUAUAGACUACCUAAUAAUAGCUUGCAACAUCAUCCAGUGGGAAUAAAAAACUUUAGCAACUUUUAAACCCAUCUCCCAUUAGCCAUGGUUAGAUUCUCAGAUGCCAAUGCCUUAUCGUUGAAAAUAGUAAUUCGUCGCAAAAUAUUAUUUUGUAAUGAAAUAAAUUUGUUGCUAACACAUAUAUAAUUCGUGAUAAAAUAAUUUGUCACUAAAAUUGAGUAAACAACAUUGCCUAAACAUCUAUUUUAUCUCAAAAAGUUAGCUUUGAGGGUCGCGUGCAUUAUUUUUUUUUGCUAGGAAAGUAAUUUUUUUCAUGACAAAAAAUUUGUGAUUUUGGCAUUAACGAUUUACCGCCAUGAUUUAUUUUGAGGCUCAAAUUUGACUUUGCCAUGAUAACUUUUGGCCCUUGAUUAUUUUUGGGGCACCUUUGCUUCAUUUAAUGACGAGGGUUUAUUUCUUCAUUAAACUAAGUGUGCUAUAGACUUGCUUCGAUGUAGUUGAUGUUUGUGAGAUGCUAAACUUGUGGCCACUCUUGUUAGCCCUAAAAAUUGGUCUCUUACAAUCAACAAGUGCUUCAUUAUCUACUGCCACCGCAUAAAGUAGUAUUGUUGAAGCUAUUCAUUAUCUCGCCUUCACCAGGCAUGAUAUUUCUUUUACUAUUAAUUAGGUUUAUCAAUAGUUCACCACUGGAGCUUUUCAAUACCUCAUUUUCACCAAACUUGAUUGCAUUCACCAUUAAUUAGAUUUCAUAAAUUUAUGCUCCACGAAAAGAUCAUUUUUAAGCUAUUAAGAGAAAUUUACAUUACUGUUGAAAUUAACAUUACUUUUGGCAUUUUGCAUCCCAUCUAUGCCAACACCAAAAAACUCGGGGUUGCAGAAAACUUAGUUGACUGGUGGAGAAAGGCAUUUAAUCUUCCAUAGUAAUGAGGUUGGUGUGCAUGGGCAUGCCAUUGACAUCUAAUCAAUUAGAAAGAUAAUGAGGAGGAUUGAAUGAAGGAUAGAGAGUAGCAUGAAUCUAGAUGGUUUAACCUUCAAGAACUUUCACCACCAUUUGAAGGUGGAUAAGGGAGUAUAGCACUGAGCGCGCUGGAUUAUAAUAAAAAAGUUAAGUUACGCGUGCUCCUAGGAUAAAAACUAGAUUAAAGAUAAAAGAUAAAAUUUAUUGAAUUGAUUAUCAAAUAAUUCUGAUACAGAGUGCAAAUCCAAUAUUUAUACUUGAUGCGGGGAAGCGUGGAAGUUGGAUUCACAAGCCCGGCUGAAUUUAAGGAAUAGAAACUCAGAUCAUGGGCUAAGCUUUGAAUCCCAAAAGUGGUUGUUUGCUGGCUCGAAAUAGAGCAGAAAUAGUGGUGAAGAUGAUCAAUCCUCCUGCAAGGAACCUGGUUCAAAAGAUUCGAAAAACAAGGGAUUCAAAUGCUCCAUGAAACAGAGCUUUCAUUCCUUUCUUAAUGGCGGUUGAAAACAUCAAAAUAAGAAGAAGAAGAGCACGACUCUUCUAGCAAUCCUUUUAUAGGAUUACAGGCUCAUCCUAAACCUAAACAAUGGGACUCAACACAAAGCAAAUCCUAAAUCAACAAGGACUCUUAAUCCCAACUAAAUUCAGAACCAAAACAAGACUAAAUUCAACAACUAAACAAAGACUCUAAACUAGCUUGAUUAAACCAAAAUUCAGAAGCAAACUAAUCUGAUUCGACUCUUUUGGAGCGUGGGAUUGAUCUCUCCUUGAGUGAGAUUGAUCCAAACACCCCCACGAAGAAGAGGAAUCAAAUCUUCAUAACUGCAAUGUCCUCGCUCGAUUCCUCUGUUCCACAGCUCUGUUCCGUGGAAGAAAUCUGUCCUGCAUUAGUCCCCUCCACUUGAAGAUAACUCGCCCUCGAGUUAAUGUUUGGAUACAACGGCUUCUCAGUUUUUGAGGCUCUAGCAGCCAUUAGAAUUACAGUGUCUAAGGUUACACCAUUUGCAAAAACCUCAAUAAAGUUGUUGUCCACUGUUAGCUUGUUCAGAGUAAGAGUUCCUCUUUCGUCACAGCAAAGAACAUCCACAUUGGCCAUUUCUUCAAUUACAGUCCUUCUCUUUGUAAUGGCUCCCUGGCCCCUGCUGAGCCAGGCAUGAGAGCCAAUAGCCAUCAUCACAGCCAGAACUAUGGGCAUGGCUAUGAGGUUCCCUCCAAUAAGCAGAACCAAGAGAUUAUCAAUUUCAGGGAGAUAGGCCCUGUCUUGGAUUGGAUGCAUAACAAUAAUCUUGAUACACAUUCCCGUUGCAGUCAAGACCUUUUGGAAGUGACCAACUUGGUUCGUCGAGUCUACAAGAUGGGCAACCUUGCCAAAGAAAGUUUAAACACCCAUAGCAAUAACGACAACCUCGAUCUCACCUUGCUUGCAUAUGGAACCAGAGUAUACACCAUCACCUGAACCUUUGGCAACAGAUAGCGAUUCUUCAGUAUGGGCAGACUGAUCAAUUUUCAGUAGAUCUCCAUCAAGGAGACGGGCAUCCGCGGGGAUGAUAUCCCCAUGCUUGAUGCUAAUAAUGUCCUCUAGGGCAAGAAUAGCCGGUUCCUCCUCUUUCCACCUGCCACCCCUGAGCAUCUUGGCUUUUGGCGCGAGGCUAGCCAUGAGGGUGGCUGUUGCAUUGCCGGUAUUGUUCUCUUCAAUGAUGCAGAUGUUCAAAAUCUGGUUCAUCACACUAAAGUCUUUCGGUACUUGUUGUGGGGUAGGGGUGUCCUCUCCUUUGUCGACCAACACCACGAUCUCGUUAGUCUCCUUGAGAUCUUCCACAAACUGCUCUUCUGGGACCAUGAGGAAAGAUUUUUCCUCCACUUUAGAAGCUUUGGGAGUAGGUCUUUCAUUCAUCGGCACUAGAAGAAUUUUCUUACCGUGCCAUCGAAAUAGGUAAGUGUUAUCUCGACCCCUAUACGUCACGUCUGUGUCAUAUUGCCACGGAUGUCCGAGUAGCAUAUGACAUGCAUUCAUGUCGACCACGUCGCACACUACCUCGUCCUUGUAGUACCGCCCAAUGGACAAUGGCACCCUACAAACCUUAUCCACUCUUAUUUCUGCACCUUUCUUGAUCCGCCCGAUCUUGUAAGGCGACAGGUGUUUGUCCGUCUUCAACUUCAUGGCGUGGACCAGUGCUGAAGAGACAAUAUUCUCGCUGCUGCCACCAUCGAUGAUCAUGUGGCACACCAUAUUAUUGAUUGUACAAUGGGUCUUGAAGAUGCUAUGGCAUUGCGAUAUCUCCUCCCUUCUUGGACAGAAUAAUAUAUGCUGAACUACAAAGGUAGCUGGAGUCCCAUGAUCAUGUGUCGUCACCAUAAUGUUGUCAUCCUCGGACUACUCCUCAUCUUCUUGUCCUUCAUCCUUGUGGUUUUUUCCUUCUUCUUCAGCUGUCUCAAUCAUAUAGACUGAUCGCCACUUUGGACACUCAUUAGAUCGAUGCCGAACCUCCUGACACCUAUAACAUUUGACGGGCAUAGACUUUUCGUAGGAGUUUCUGCUACCUUUCGGUGCCUCCAGCUAUUUGCUAAAAUUUUCAACACUUCUGGUCGUGGAUGUUGGUGGCGGUUGGCCCAAAGUGGCCACCACAUCAAUGGCCUUCUGCUUUACCAUGGUGGAGUGUGAAGAUGCCCGAAUCGUGGGCUGAAACUGGCUCAAUUUUCGGGCCGCAUGUCCCUCGAGUUUUAUGGCCAAACUUGUGGCUUCAGAUAGGCUCCACACCGGAUGUAGAUCCACCUAAUCUUGGAUAGUUGGCUUCAAUCCUCCGAUGUACCUUGCCACCUCCUAAUUUUCCAUCUCCGUCAGAUUGUUACGGGCGUUGAGAUGGUUGAAUUCAUGGGUGUACUCGGUCACCGUCCGAGGACCCUGUCAGUAAUUUUGAUACUGGUUAUAUAGCGUUUGCUCGUAGUCGGACAAGAAAAAUUGACCAUGCAAAUGCUGCUUCAUCUUGCGCCAAGUGAUGACCUGCAUCUUCCUUGCCGCAUACGAUUGUGUUGUAAUUACUCCUACCAUGCAGAUGCUCCACCUUUUAAUUUGUAUGCAACAAGCUUCAUCUUCUCCUAAUCUGGGAUCUCCAUGUAAUCGAAGAACUUUUCGACCUCAGCCAUCCAAUCCAGAAAACCUUCGAUGUGUAGAUUGCCAUUGAAAGUAGGAAGAUCUAGCUUCAAACGAUAAUCGGAGGUGACACGGUUCCGUUCAAUCCUUUUGGAUCUAUAACCUGCGGAAUUUGUGUUGUGCCUUUGUUGCAGCCCGUUGAACUCGCCGAAGGCCAAUCCUUUAUCUUCUUCGUCGGACGACUCCGGAUAGAUGAUAAGUGCUAAAUAAUGCAUAAACUAAUAUCUUAUUCAUAACACUUAUCAUUAUUUUAAUUCAUAUAUUUUGUGAAUUUAACUUAAAAAAAAUGUGUCACCUUCAUCAUUGCAUUUUAAUAAAGUAUUAAAGGUAAUUCAAGUUUUACUUAUUUAUUUACUGAUUGAGUCUAAUGUAUGCAGGUCGAAUCAAAUUCACCUGGGAUGAUCCCUGAACCCAAUCGCAUGCACCCCAUGAAUCGGAUUUUCCUAACCAAUUAGAGUCGACCCCAAUUUUCCUUUUCAACACAUGGCCACCCCAAGGUUCACUUGUCUUCUCCCGUGCUCCGUACCUUAUCCAAGCUACACUACCACAAUUCCAAUUGCAAGCCAUCUCAGUCAUUCAUCUUGCAUCCACGUCAUCCUUCCCACGCUCAUAUUUAAACUUCCCCUCGCGUCCGUGUCGUCGUCCACAUCGAGUUCAUCUUUAUCCCAUCUCCCAACCAGCUCCGGCUCUCAUUUUUAUUCUGAUCAUCCAAAUCCCAGCAUCCUCUCCCUUCGUAAUAAAGCCCCAGCUCAUCCCGCUUUCAUCCGUUCAGCAUCUAUCAACAAAUCCCAGCAUUCGGAUGAAUCUCUUGCAUCCUCUUCCCUUGUUCCGAAACAAAGGUAACAACCAUCCGUGAUUCAAGGCCCCUUCCAGAUUAUUUGCCAGCAUCUUCAUCUCCGCAUCAUCACCGGACCUCAACGUCUGCUCACGAAUCCAGCUUUGCCCUUCUUCGGAAUAGAAUCCAGUCGUUCCCAGAUUUCCUCCCAAGCCGUCAGCCGAAUCCAAGCUUUCCAGACUUCACGGAAACAAAACAGAGCAGCUCACAAAACAACAUCAUCGUCUUCCUUGCAGAUCCCGCAUCCCAGCUAAAUUUCCAGCCGUCCGCGUGCAAAAAUCCACCGCGAUCCAACCUCGCCCAGACAUUCCCCGCGUCCGUGAGCCAACGUCCGCAACCUCCCGUGAAGCUUCUCCCAGAUUCCGCCUCAUCCGCAGUUCACACCAUCGGUCAGCGUCCGCGUGUGAUCAGCUCCCAGCCGUCCGUGAUCAACCCCCUCAGAUCUCUUCCGUCUUCCUUGCAGGCCACGUCCGUGAUCCCAGCUCCAAACCUCCAUCCGAAUCCCAGCAUUUCCGCAUCCCAUGGCGAUUGCAAUCUUCCGGAAUAUCAGCUCGCUUCCGAGUCCACGCGCAUUCCAAACGAUCCCAAGUGUUCAAGCCCCAAGCUUCCACAUUCACAGAGGAUCUCAGCUGCCUCCUGCGAUCAGCCUUCCUCCCUUACCGAAGAUCCCGACUUCUGUGAAGCUUCCCUGCCUGCCACGUUCGCGGCCAGCCAGCAUCCAAAUCUCAGAUUGCCGCAACCAAAGAUCCCGCAAUCACAGCCUCUCCGCGUCCGGGAUACUCGGCAGCCAGCACGAGAGGAGCAUCCCGUGUGAUCAGGGAGUCCAUCGAGAGGUAUAAAGGACUCUCUUUUCGGAAACAGGGGGCUGGCAUUCAUUGAAAGAAAGAAGAAUCUCAGCCCCAUUCGAAAAAGAAGAAGAAAAAAAAAGAAAGAGAGGAAACAGGGCAUGUCCUGUUUCCGAAAAUAAAAAGAAAAAAAAAGAGAGAAAGAAGAGGAACAGGGGAGAUUUUUUUCAUAUUGAUAGCCGGCUAAUCCCUUUGGUCUAGGGUGAUGGGAGAACCCUUGAUUGUUACUUUCUUGGAGUAAACUCUAAACUAUUGUUCUAUUCAAUUUAGAUCUUUUGAUAUGUUUUGGUUUCUUGCUUGCCUAUAUUGUAGAUAGUUCUUUAAUGGUUUAUAUCUAUUGAUGCAUGGAUUACUUUAUUAUUUGAUUUGUCGUAGACAUAACCGGCACGACGAAUGCUUAGAAAUUGAGUUCGUGUGUUCAAACAUAUAUUCCAUGAUUAGAUCUAUCCUACAUUUGAACUUUUAAAUCAGAAACCGUAGAGUUUAUAUCUUGAAUGUAUUAUUGUCAAGAGAGAUUCCGGAUCCCUAACAUCUCUUUANNNNNNNNNNNNNNNNNNNNNNNNNNNNNNNNNNNNNNNNNNNNNNNNNNNNNNNNNNNNNNNNNNNNNNNNNNNNNNNNNNNNNNNNNNNNNNNNNNNNNNNNNNNNNNNNNNNNNNNNNNNNNNNNNNNNNNNNNNNNNNNNNNNNNNNNNNNNNNNNNNNNNNNNNNNNNNNNNNNNNNNNNNNNNNNNNNNNNNNNNNNNNNNNNNNNNNNNNNNNNNNNNNNNNNNNNNNNNNNNNNNNNNNNNNNNNNNNNNNNNNNNNNNNNNNNNNNNNNNNNNNNNNNNNNNNNNNNNNNNNNNNNNNNNNNNNNNNNNNNNNNNNNNNNNNNNNNNNNNNNNNNNNNNNNNNNNNNNNNNNNNNNNNNNNNNNNNNNNNNNNNNNNNNNNNNNNNNNNNNNNNNNCUCUGAUAUCUGAGUAAUCCACCGUCUGAUUGCACUCAAAUUGCGUCGGCUGCUGUAGGACACAUGUUUCUUUCAUCCGAACGGUCUGAUUGAUAUUCUGAUACUUUUACGACCAUUAAAUUAAUAUAAACUUUGCUGCUGUCUGCUUUGAAUUUUCUGGGUUUAAUUUUUUGUUUAGAAUCAGAAUUUUAUUAUCAUCAUAUCUCAUUAACCCUUGUUGCUACUUGAAAAUUGAUAAGAACUUUAAGAAAAGAUCAAGGGUAAUCAUUAAAAAAAUAAAAAUAAAAAAAAACAAACAAAUAAAUAAACUCUGAAAUUUUGUAUGCUAGGUUGGAAUAGGGACAACACUGGAUGUCUGAGUCGACAACCUUUUGACAAUUCCUUAGAUCACAUUAUUGAAACUUUUUCGCAAAAUCUCAGAUCUGGUGAGAUGGCUGAUGAUGAUGUAGGAAGUCACCAUGGUAAUGAAGGUAGACCCCCAGUUAUGACACUUCGACAAUAUUUACAUCCUACUAGGACUAGUCAACCUUCAUGCAUGAUUAUUCCUGAAAAUGUAGGACACUUUGAAAUCAAACCAGGAGUAAUUCAAUUGCUGCCAAAGUAUCAUGGAAUGGAAUCCGAGAACCCUUAUCUUCACCUUAAGGAUUUUGAGGAAAUUAGCAUCACAUUUAGAGUGCCAAAUGUAUCGGAAGAUGUCCUUAAAUUAACCUUGUUUCCUUUUUCCUUGAAGGAUAAAGCCAAAACAUGGCUGAACUCCUUGAGACCAAGAUCGUUAGGAACAUGGCAUGAUAUGCAAAGAGAAUUCUUAAAAAAGUUCUUUCCCGCACAAAUGACUAAUUUUUUGAAAAGGCACAUUAGUAAUUUCCAACAAAAAGACCAUGAAACAUUUUAUGAAUGCUGGGAGAGAUUUAAAGAUUUGCUACUCUCUUGUCCUCAUCAUGGGUUUGAAACAUGGAGAACCAUUAGUUUCUUUUACGAGGGAUUGUCUCCACAAUUAAAACAAUUUAUAGAGACUAUGUGCAAUGGUCUAUUUUUGGAAAAGCAACCCGAUGAGGCAUGGGACUAUUUAGACUCUCUCGCAGAGACUGCACAAUUAUGGGAUACAGGGAAUAGAGUGAAUAAACCUUUGCCUAAGCCUACUAGCAUUCCACACGGGGCCUUUACAACCUUAAUACUCAGGAUGAUAUUCAGGCUAAAAUGGCAGCCCUUACUAGGAAGGUAGAGGAAAUUGAACUUAGAAGGAUUGAACCCGUCAAGACCGUAGAGCAUAACAACGAGUGUUGUAGGAUUUGCGAGAUGCCUGGCCAUCUCAUCACUGAUUACCCCACAAUAUCCGCAUUCAAGGAAGUGUUGCACGAUCAGGCCAAUGUUAUGAAUACAUAUCAAAAAUCUUUCAAUAGUCCUUUUUCGGGCACUUACAACCCUGGAUGGAAGAACCAUCCAAAUUUCAGGUGGAGGAAUGACCAACCUCAACAAGUAUAUAACCCAACUCCUCCACCUCCGCCACCUCAUUAUGCACACGCACCCCCUCAAAAAUCCAGUCUCGAAGAAACUUUGCAAUCUUUCAUGCAAGGUCAAGCUAAAAUCAAUGAUGAAUUAAGAAAUCAACUGACAACGCUGACCACUGCUUUAAGUGCUCAAGAGAAAGGUAAGCUACUAGCUCAACCACAACCUAACCCUCAAGUCUAUGGCGGUAGCAAUGCAUCAUCUUCAACUUCGCGUAAAGAACAAGCGAAGAGUAUAAUAACUUUGUGAAGUGGAAAAGUUAUUGACCGACCAGUCCCAGAACAAACUCAAGCCAUACCUGAUUCUGACCCUUUAAAGACAAAAGAAAAGGAUAACGAAGAAACUGAAGCACCAACAUCUACUAAAAAAAUCAAAUGUCCUUUUCCUGCACCAUUUCCACAAAGAUUAAAGCCCUUGCAAAAGCUUGAACCAAACUCUGAAAUUCUUGAGCUUUUUAAGCAAGUAAAAAUCAAUGUACCUCUUCUUGAUGCAAUCAAAUAAGUGCCUUCAUAUGCAAAAUUUUUGAAAGAUUUGUGCACUGUCAAGCGUCGAUUAAAUGUCAAGAAGAAGGCAUUUCUGGCUGAAAAUGUAAGUGCAAUUUUAUAGCAUAACAUUCUUCCUAAAUAUAAAGAUCCAGGUUGCCCAACUAUCUCGUGCAUCAUUGGCAAUUUUAGGAUUGAGCGAGCAUUGCUAGAUUUAGGAGCGAGUGUGAACUUGUUGCCAUAUACGGUAUAUGAGCAACUCGGUUUGGGUGAGUUGAAGCCAACAACUGUGACCUUACAAUUAGCUGACAGGUCAGUGAAAGUCCCUAGAGGGAUUAUCGAAAAUGUGUUGGUCCAAGUAGACAACUUCUAUUUUCCUGUUGAUUUUAUCGUACUGGACACACAUCCGGCUUCCAAUUCACCAUCUCAGAUUCCGGUCAUCUUAGGACGUCCAUUCCUUGCAACUUCUAAUGCAUUGAUCAAUUGUAGGAAUGGUGUCAUGAAGCUUUCUUUUGGCAAUAUGACCUUGGAACUGAACGUCUUUAGUAUAGGUAAACAACCCAGUGAUCAUGAAAAAAGUAAAGAAGUUGAAUGGGUUGAAACCAUUGCAGAAGAAUAUUUGUUAAAAGAAACAUUUACUGAAUCGGCCGACAAUGGUUUGAUAGAUUGGUGUUCUGAAGGUACUGCUAAUGAUGAGGUCCCACCUGGUUUAGAUAAUUCGGAUGUUAUGAUGGUCAAUGAUAAGUGCUGAAUAAUUUAUAAUUUAGUUAUCUUUUCAUAGCACUUAUCAAUGUUCUUAAACUAAUAAAUACAUACUUUACCAUAAAAUUGAAUAAACAUUGAAAUAAAUUUAAAAUAUGGUAAGAGGUAAAUAAUUCUUUUCUCAAAACAGACUUUGAACUUGUCUCUCUCCUGGUUGUAAUCUUUCAUGAAAACAUAUAAGGAGGAGAUUGUGUUGACCCAGUUUAGUAACCUGAUGGAGUUGUAAUCAAGCUAAGGCUAUGAUUAAAUAGGUUUUGGUCCUGAUUCGAUCGAAAGUUAUAAUUAAUUAUGUAUGGGGCAAAAGUUUGAUUAACCCUUUUUAUUAGGUCACGGUCCGGUUUUUGGUCUGAUCUGGUUGAGUUCAAUCUGAAGCGGUUUAGUAAGAAUAAAAUGACAUUGGGCUCGAGAACAAGUUGAAGCAAAUCAACGAUCAUGAUCCACCUCAAACCCAAAGU
rnacentral:lncRNA from 1 species